rnacentral:lncRNA from 10 species
GGAUUGGGAUAUUCCGACUCCUUAAGGGCCUGGCGCACAUAAGGUGUGACCUUUUCAUUCCCGUUGUUAUGGAGGGCCACAUCUGCCAGAGCCUGGAGUCUGCGAAGGCCGGGACCCGGUUCCCCGGCCCACAGUGGGGGUGUGCAAACCCGAGAGAACUGGGAAGUGCCGUCAGAAGCGAUAACUGACGACGUCUAAUGUCUAUCUGACCGCAGUCGCUGAAACCUCUACAACUUAGUUGACCGUAACUGCCAGAGCCCUGCCCUGAAUUCCUGUCCUUACUCCCUCUUUAAGAUUGCGUACCCACUGCAGAGUGCUGAAGACGGGGUAGCCACGAGGUUGCAAAUUCGUGAAGAAUCAGCAUCAUGUUUGGCAGCUGAGUAUUGGAGCCAGGAGCCUGCCAUGAGGUUUUGAGAACAGAGUGCUGUUUUAGAGCUGGCAGCAGCAUCUCAGCCCAAGAGAAGGUUAUAUUCCCAGAGGAUGUCAGUCCCAAGGACCAGUAGCUGCCAUCAGUUUGGAUUCUGAAAACUAACUGGCAUCAACACUGGGUGUAGAAACAUGCUUGCCUUAUGUAUCAGAGGACAUGCUCAGCAGAUCCAAGAGAUAUAUUUGGCAACUUUUUCUAGAAAAGGCACAUUGGGUAUCAUUCAUUACAUUCUUGAGUUUUUUUGGGUUUUUUUUUUUUUUUUUGAGACAGUCUUGCUGUAUUGCCCAGGCUGGAGUGUGGUGGCACAAUCACAGCUCAUUGCAUCCUCAAUCACCCAGGCCUAAGCAAUCCUCCCACCUUGUAGCUGGGACUACAGCUCACAGCACACCUGGCUAAAAUUUUUUUUUUGUUGAGACGGAUUCUCUAUGUUGCCCAGGCUGGUCUCAGGCUCCUGGGCUCAGAUGGUCCUCCUGCCUCAGCUUCCAAAGGCACAGGCCAAGUUGUAGCUUUGUCCCUUGCCAUCAUGCCCAACAAGAGGUUCUAUACCUUUUAAUGAAUUGACUUUCAUAAAUUGGUUAUGUUGGUGGGCAAAGUUCUUUAAGCUGGAAAUUGUAAAUUCCUCCUGAAAUGUUUUUUCAUGCAGUUACCAUGAACUAAUACUACAAUAAAGGAUGGUCUUGGGUGUCAAUUCUUGAA